ensembl:snRNA U6 U6 spliceosomal RNA
GUGCUCGCUUCCGCAGCACAUAUACUAAAAUUGGAAUGAUACAGAGAUUAGCAUGGCCCCUGCACAAGGAUGACAUGCAAAUUCACGAGGCGUUCCAUAUUUUU